rnacentral:lncRNA from 1 species
GUAAACAUGUUUCAAAACGAAAGAUAGAAAUAAUAGAAAUAAACAACAAACGAACGAAGUUGUACACAUAGAAAUAAUCCCUUAAUAGGCAAACCAAGGUUUAACAAAUAAGAAAAGUCAUGACAAAAUAUGACUGUAACAUUCUGGUAACAAAGGAAAGAGUGUUUCAUUAACAGUAAGAAGUCUAUGAUUCUUUGAUUUUAACACAAACAAAGACACAAUUGAAUACAAUAAGAAGCUUUGAUUUUUACACACACAAACACACAAAAUUGAAUACACUUACAAUUACAUGGCACUUGCUAUGUGAUUCUUUGUUGAUAUUCUGUUGAUGCUCCAUCUGUCUAAAUCAAAACAUCAAUAUCAGAAUCACAAAACAACUAACAGAAGCAUAGGUCCUUCACUUGGGCGGGUCACGGUACCCGCAUUUCAACUUUUGCUACUGGGCCCGCCUAUUUAAAUUCGGACCAGACCACUUUUAUAACCCGUCAACCCGCUGGCCCGUGGAAAAAUGCAUAAAUGGAACAAAAUCUUGAAAUAUAAGAAAAUCAAUGUUAGUUGAAAUCCUCCUUGCAAUGAUAUGGAUGUAAUAAAACUUCAUACUUUUCAUAGAAAGACAAGGAAGUGAAAACCAUAUGAAGUUAUAACGGAAAACAUUAGGUGUUUCGUGUUUGUAUUUGAACUACAACAACAAAGGUAAAACUGACUACAUAGAUCAAAGAAGGUUACAAUGUCACAUUUGAAUAGAAAACCAUCAUACAAAUGUUAAAUCCAUAGACUUUUGAUAAAUUUAAAAUUCAAAAUAUAUCUUGCAACAAUAGAUGCAUUUUGACCAAGUUUAAUGUUGUCAGACACAUUGACUUUUAUCAUGCAUCCAUCAACAGGACAUAAAAGUGAAACAUGGGAAACUAUCUCUAGGUUUCCAAGAUCAUAUAUGAGAAUAUCAUAUUUCAAGUAUUGAGUUGAGCUUAACAAACAUGUUGUAUUAAAAGAUCCUACACCUUCCAAGUCCUUACCAGAAACAGACUCAUUUGUUGAAAGUGACAAAGUUGAUGUUUCAGCAUAUGCAAAAUCACCGAGUUAAGAAUCGUCUCUGAUUAGUGAGCCCGUGUAACCCAAAAAGACUUCUAAGCCAUUGCUACUGUUCAAAUGUUAUCCUGAAGUAAGAGAAAGGCAUAAUAUAUGAAGAUAUCCCAGUAUAAUACAACAUAAGAAAUACCUAAGCAUGAUCAAAGAGAGUGUCACUACCUACGACACCGUGUGUAUCAGUAGAACUUAAAAUCAAUGUAAAGUUUCAAUCUUUUCUAUGAAAAUGACCAUCGACAGUUAUUCUGAAAGCUAUCUCCAUAGUGAUUCGUACUCAAGGAAGCCACUUUUAUACAUACAUUCUGCAACUAAAUAUACAUGAGAUUAUCAAAAAAUAAGACAAACAUAAAGGUUAACGACAAGUCAUUAAAUCUAAUUAUUCAUUUUAGUAGUCUCAUCUUAAAGUCAUUCUAAAUUGUUGAACACCUUAUCACAUGUUAAACAUUAUUAGAAAGUUUUGAUCCCAAAAAUGAUAUUUCAUCAGCUAAAAAUUGUAACAUAGAAACCAUAUAUCUCAAUCGACCAAAUAUUGAGACACUUGUUGCAACAUAUAUUUAACUAUGUAAUUGACAUUAUCUCUUAUAAAAGCUAGCACAAUAUCAACUUCAUUACAACAUGAAUCAACCAAUGAAUUCAUUAACUCUUAUGAAUUACUUCACUAAAUCUAGAUAUUGGUAGAAAAUGAAUCCAAUAGGAUAAAAUAUUGAAUACAGUUUAUCUGCACACUUCAAGAAAGAAGAAAUUACUUUCAAUUCAUCUCAACUCAAAUUUGGUCACAUAAUAUUGUAUCCCUUAAGAUAACUAAUACGAAAUGAAAUUUGAAAACAAAUUAUAAGAAUAAAAUUAUUCAAAAGUAAUUGCCAACAACAUUUGUUUAUGACUUACCACCACGUAAACGACCGAAAUAAAAAUUAGUUCACCAACAACAGUAGCUUCAUGCAUGCAAUGCCUAACCAACUCAACGGAGACAUCUCCAACAAACAACAUCUACUUUGAAAAACUUCAAGAAAGUUUGGAGCUUUGCCAUAUAUCUACCGCAUACCACCGUAAAACGCUCAAGCUAACAAAGAUGUAGAGGAUAAGAGGAAACAAACAUUUAUUAUGGAUAAUCACAAAACAAAACCAACAAAUCAAAAACAAAAACAAAUAAGGUUGACUUACCAAAGAAACAUUGUAAUAUGAAAAAAAGAGAAAACAAUAUCGUCUUCAUUUCUGGAACAAAAACAAACAAUAACUUUCAGAAGAGAAAAGACAAGUUUGAAGCAACACGUUGGUAAAACACAUCGACCAUUUCAAAUUCGACCACCACCACCCUCAUCGCCGAAAAUCACCACAGAUCUACCACCGUCGUUAAACCGCACAUUGCACGUCAAAAGCAUUUUCGUAAACCAUGUUAGAAGAAAGAAUCAAAAUAGCAGAAGAACAUGAACAAAGAAGAGGAAGAGUGAGAUGAACAUCCGG